rnacentral:rRNA from 1 species
GACGAACGCUGGCGGCGUGCCUAAUACAUGCAAGUUGAGCGCUGAAGGUUGGUACUUGUACCAACUGGAUGAGCAGCGAACGGGUGAGUAACGCGCGGGGAAUCUGCCUUUGAGCGGGGGACAACAUUUGGAAACGAAUGCUAAUACCGCAUAAAAACUUUAAACACAAGUUUUAAGUUUGAAAGAUGCAAUUGCAUCACUCAAAGAUGAUCCCGCGUUGUAUUAGCUAGUUGGUGAGGUAAAGGCUCACCAAGGCGAUGAUACAUAGCCGACCUGAGAGGGUGAUCGGCCACAUUGGGACUGAGACACGGCCCAAACUCCUACGGGAGGCAGCAGUAGGGAAUCGUCGGCAAUGGACGAAAGUCUGACCGAGCAACGCCGCGUGAGUGAAGAAGGUUUUCGGAUCGUAAAACUCUGUUGGUAGAGAAGAACGUUGGUGAGAGUGGAAAGCUCAUCAAGUGACGGUAACUACCCAGAAAGGGACGGCUAACUACGUG